ACUCAUGUAGUUUACUUAAAACAUUACAUUUUCACUGUAAAGAUAGGCUUAGGCCUCAUGAGUG
rnacentral:tRNA from 1 species